rnacentral:rRNA from 1 species
AUUGAACGCUAGCGGGAUGCUUUACACAUGCAAGUCGAACGGCAGCGCGGACUUCGGUCUGGCGGCGAGUGGCGAACGGGUGAGUAAUGUAUCGGAACGUGCCCAGUAGCGGGGGAUAACUACGCGAAAGCGUAGCUAAUACCGCAUACGCCCUACGGGGGAAAGCAGGGGAUCGUAAGACCUUGCACUAUUGGAGCGGCCGAUAUCGGAUUAGCUAGUUGGUGAGGUAACGGCUCACCAAGGCGACGAUCCGUAGCUGGUUUGAGAGGACGACCAGCCACACUGGGACUGAGACACGGCCCAGACUCCUACGGGAGGCAGCAGUGGGGAAUUUUCGACAAUGGGGGCAACCCCGAUCCAGCCAUCCCGCGUGUGCGAUGAAGGCCUUCGGGUUGUAAAGCACUUUUGGCAGGAAAGAAACGUCGCGGGCUAAUACCCCGUGGAACUGACGGUACCUGCAGAAUAAGCACCGGCUAACUACGUG